CCGUCUCUAGGUGGUCAGUUACUCGAUCUCGGUCAUCCGACUCAUCUCGGGCGAGUAUGUCAUUGGUGCGGACGCCGUGUCGGACAACAACAGUGCAAGCUCAUCGCUAGCUCAUAUGAGUCUUUGGUCGGCACCCUCCUACUGCCGCUCUGUGUGUUGGUGCCGACACCACACUCCUCACUUUUCUUAGACAAAGGGAAAGACGAACGCCGGCGUCAGCAAGGUUGUCACCUCCCCUCUCUCUUUAACUCUCUUAUUUUAUUUUUACAUCCUUGUCACAAUAUUGAUCUGUGUUGCUAUUGUUGUCUGAAUGAAGUGACCUGCUGUUGUUGUAAUAACAGAAGUGAGCUGCCGAUUUUUGAAUGAACUUGACUUGUUUGCAUAUUCUUGUAUGGGCAGAAGAAAUAUAGAAUUGACCUUGUGUACUAACUGUUGUAUGGAUGUCGGUGGCCAUCACCUGUCAAAGGAGGGUCACGCCAGAUGUUGUGGAGGUGACGCACUCGGCCGGCGAGGAGCUCCGGGUCAAUGACGGUGGUGGCUGAUGAGCAGAGUCUACUCAUUGAACAGUGACUGCUUCAGGAUUACGGGAGGAAGUUGGAGUAAAUCCUUGUGUUUGGCUUCAAUUUUUGGGUUUGGAUAUCUACCCAACAUAUAAACUGACUGCUGUACAAUGGAAGUUCUGUAUUUGUGAGAUAAGUUUCUAUAAUGCAGAACUGCAAGAAUAAUCCUAGAACCAUCUUUACAGUCUGAUGUUACUUAAUAAUAAAUAAUUAGUUACAUAUACCAGAGGAUUUAAAUGCUUAGCAUUUCAUGUCUUAGUUAGAAAUUGAUGUGUGAUUUCAAGGCUCAUAUUGGCUUUUCAUUAUCCUUCUUUUUCUCUGAAAGGCUAGAGAGAAAGUGUUAAAGGAAGCUUCACAGUUUUGUCAAUGAUCAAAAUUUUCUAGCUAAUUAUUAUUUACCCAUGUUUGCAUGAUGUUAUGUAAGUGAUUCUCUCUCUUUUUCUUUCUUUUCCACAUUUUAAAACUGCAGAUAUUGACUAUGAGAUGAAAUUGUCAUUGUUCAUAAUUUAAAUGUUUGACAAAAGGCCGGAGCGAAGAAUGCUAGCUUCUUAAUGCUACUUCACGGAUUUCCAUGUCGAUGUUGCCCCCUUUUGGACGGAGAUGGUUGUGUCAAAGGUGUCAAUGGCACAGGUUCUUCGCCAUAUCAGGCCUUUCAUGUGCCUACCUCAUGAAGCCAUUGAUCUGGUACUACAUAGAUUGAGGACGGGCUGAAGAAAAUGUGAGCCAUGGGAGGAGAGAUUUACUGGAGCAAGGUGAACGACGGUGCAGCGACCAGAUGUGAGACGCCGGGAAUGCAUGUUUUUCGUUCUUGAUGCCUUGGCUGUCGUACACAAAAGUGGAUGGGAGAUCUGCAAGUUAAAGAAAAUAUCAUGGUAUUCCUCUCAUGCACCUUGGUGUCACAUAAACCCUCAUAACCUCUGCAUCUCUGCCUUUACCGUUCGUCGCUUCUCUGUUCCUGACAAGUAUGGACUUCUCUUUCACUUCCUUGCUUGUGUAUAGAUGCUAUGAUGUAUUGUAAUAUGGAUUGGAUUUCAUAUACAUGUACUAUAUUUAUUUGAAGUGUUACACACAUGGCUCUUGGUCGUGUAACGACUCUUCUUCUAAUUGAUACGACAACAUUUCUUGUUCAUGGUGUAACUAUGAUCAUGCUUUAAGUAAUUUUUAUUACUGAUGUGAAUGCACUCAUGAUCUG